GAUGAAGAACGUAGCGAAAUGCGAUAAGUAAUGUGAAUUGCAGAAUUCAGUGAAUCAUCGAAUCUUUGAACGCACAUUGCGCCCGCCAGUAUUCUGGCGGGCAUGCCUGUUCGAGCGUCAUUUCUGCCCUCAAGCACGGCUUGUGUGUUGGGUGUGGUCCCCCCGGGGACCUGCCCGAAAGGCAGCGGCGACGUCCGUCUGGUCCUCGAGCGUAUGGGGCUCUGUCACUCGCUCGGGAAGGACCUGCGGGGGUUGGUCACCACUAUAUUUUACCACGGUUGACCUCGGAUCAGGUAGGAGUUACCCGCUGAACUUAAGCAUAUCAAUAAGCGGAGGA
rnacentral:misc_RNA from 1 species